rnacentral:rRNA from 1 species
AGACCCGAAACCCGGUGAUCUAGCCAUGGGCAGGUUGAAGGUUGGGUAACACUAACUGGAGGACCGAACCGACUAAUGUUGAAAAAUUAGCGGAUGACCUGUGGCUGGGGGUGAAAGGCCAAUCAAACCGGGAGAUAGCUGGUUCUCCCCGAAAGCUAUUUAGGUAGCGCCUCGUGAAUUCAUCUCCGGGGGUAGAGCACUGUUUCGGCUAGGGGGCCAUCCCGGCUUACCAACCCGAUGCAAACUGCGAAUACCGGAGAAUGUUAUCACGGGAGACACACGGCGGGUGCUAACGUCCGUCGUGAAGAGGGAAACAACCCAGACCGCCAGCUAAGGUCCCAAAGUCAUGGUUAAGUGGGAAACGAUGUGGGAAGGCCCAGACAGCCAGGAUGUUGGCUUAGAAGCAGCCAUCAUUUAAAGAAAGCGUAAUAGCUCACUGGUCGAGUCGGCCUGCGCGGAAGAUGUAACGGGGCUAAACCAUGCACCGAAGCUGCGGCAGCGACGCUGAUGCGUUGUUGGGUAGGGGAGCGUUCUGUAAGCCUGCGAAGGUGACCUGUGAGGGUUGCUGGAGGUAUCAGAAGUGCGAAUGCUGACAUAAGUAACGAUAAAGCGGGUGAAAAGCCCGCUCGCCGGAAGACCAAGGGUUCCUGUCCAACGUUAAUCGGGGCAGGGUGAGUCGACCCCUAAGGCGAGGCCGAAAGGCGUAGUCGAUGGGAAACGGGUUAAUAUUCCCGUACUUGGUGUUACUGCGAAGGGGGGACGGAGAAGGCUAUGUUGGCCGGGCGACGGUUGUCCCGGUUUAAGCGUGUAGGUGUGUGUUCCAGGUAAAUCCGGUUCACUUUAACACUGAGGCGUGACGACGAGGCACUACGGUGCUGAAGCAACAAAUGCCCUGCUUCCAGGAAAAGCCUCUAAGCAUCAGGUAACAUCAAAUCGUACCCCAAACCGACACAGGUGGUCAGGUAGAGAAUACCAAGGCGCUUGAGAGAACUCGGGUGAAGGAACUAGGCAAAAUGGUGCCGUAACUUCGGGAGAAGGCACGCUGACACGUAGGUGAAGUGAUUUACUCAUGGAGCUGAAGUCAGUCGAAGAUACCAGCUGGCUGCAACUGUUUAUUAAAAACACAGCACUGUGCAAACACGAAAGUGGACGUAUACGGUGUGACGCCUGCCCGGUGCCGGAAGGUUAAUUGAUGGGGUCAGCGCAAGCGAAGCUCCUGAUCGAAGCCCCGGUAAACGGCGGCCGUAACUAUAACGGUCCUAAGGUAGCGAAAUUCCUUGUCGGGUAAGUUCCGACCUGCACGAAUGGCGUAAUGAUGGCCAGGCUGUCUCCACCCGAGACUCAGUGAAAUUGAACUCGCUGUGAAGAUGCAGUGUACCCGCGGCAAGACGGAAAGACCCCGUGAACCUUUACUAUAGCUUGACACUGAACAUUGAGCCUUGAUGUGUAGGAUAGGUGGGAG